GACGAACGCUGGCGGCGUGCUUAACACAUGCAAGUCGAACGAAGUGGCGAACGGGUGAGUAACGCGUAAUCAACCUGCCCUUCAGAGGGGGAUAACAGUUGGAAACGACUGCUAAUACCGCAUACUGAAGGCGGGAGUUGCGUCUGAUUAGCGAGUUGGAGGGGUAACGGCCCACCAAGGCGAGGCUCAGUAGACGGGGUGAGAGGAGGAACGGGCACAUUGGGACUGAGACACGGCCCAGACUCCUACGGGAGGCAGCAGUGGUGAAUCUUCCGCAAUGGACGAAAGUCUGACGGAGCAAAGCCGCGUGAGUGAUGACGGCCUUCUGGUUGUAAAGCUCUGUUAAUCGGGACGCGGUACCGGAAUAGAAAGCCACGGCUAACUACGUGCCAGCCGCCGCGGUAAUUC
rnacentral:rRNA from 1 species